rnacentral:rRNA from 1 species
UACGAGGGGAGCAAGCGUUGUUCGGAUUUACUGGGCGUAAAGGGCGCGUAGGCGGCCAGCGCAAGUCAGUUGUGAAAUCUCCGGGCUUAACUCGGAACGGUCAACUGAUACUGCGCGGCUAGAGUGCAGAAGGGGCAACUGGAAUUCUCGGUGUAGCGGUGAAAUGCGUAGAUAUCGAGAGGAACACCUGCGGCGAAGGCGGGUUGCUGGGCUGACACUGACGCUGAGGAGCGAAAGCGUGGGGAGCGAACAGG